rnacentral:rRNA from 1 species
AUGGUGAAUCUAAUGAGGUCCUGGUUUAUUGGUCUUCUUCGUAUUUUAUCCCAAAAUUUGAUCAUAUAUUUAACUGGUAAAAUGUUAAUGCAUGUGAUAAAGAAAUUAUAUCGUUGGCUUCAUAUUGUUUUAAUGAUACUAUUUUUUGUGACAUGCAUUAACAUUUUGCUAAUUAAAUCCAUGGUCAAAAUUUGUCACAAAAUACUAAGGGGGCCAACAAACCAGGACGGGGUAGUAUAUAUAUGGCAUUCUAGAUGUAAAUGUAUUUCUUCACAAACUUUAUCAAAUUCUAUGAGGUGA